ensembl:lncRNA
GGAGCAGAACCAAGCCGAGGAGUAUGGCAAAGAGGGCUCGAAUUCCCCCAUGCACCGCACAGAAUGGUACAGCCGAGCCCCCAAACCUUGCAGUCUCACUCGCCGGUGAGCUAAUCUGGUGGUUGUGGAGAGGGGUUUUGUUGGUGGGUGUUCCUUGAACGCAUGGAGCAGCCUUCUUGAUGGAGCUUUUAAUUUGGGGCGAGAUUUCUGGAAACCCUCCUCUAUCGUCUCAAUCACUCCAAAGCUCGAGGGUCUCUGAAACUUUGAGAAAAAGCACAAAGUCAACAGUUCCUUUCUGCAGGUUCCUUCCCUGACUUCCCUCAGUAAUGGAAUAUGACCCGGGUGUCAGAAGAUGAAGUAAACCCUUUCCUCCCCAAGUUGCUUUUUUAUCAUGGUGUUUAUCACAGCAAGAGAGAGCAACCUGAAAGACUAGGUGCUGCAGCCUGAUUGGGGUUCUGUCCUUCCUUGGCAAGAUGACACAUCUUCACCUUGAAAUAAUGAGGGGCCACUUCGAGGGCAAAUGGAACAGGAAGGAUUGCAUUGGACAUAAGCUUUGG